rnacentral:lncRNA from 1 species
AUCCAGGAAGUAACUCCUGAUGACCGCCCCACAGAUGAUUCAGGAAAACCAUUUGUUCCAAGUGAAGAACAGGUUUCUUAUGCAUCACAAGCAAUCCCUAGUCAAGAAGAAAUGGCAUCUCUACCAGGCGCUACAGUUUCUCCAACCUCAGAUGCCCAAGUUGCCUCGUCAGAAGUUCAGGAAGUCAGUCCUGAUGAUCAACAGGCUGUCGAGUCAACUACUCCAUUGUUUUCAAGUGGAAAGCAAGGUUCUCAUGUCGAAUCUGCUUUUCGACCAGGUGAAGUAGGUGCUGGUGAAAAGAAAUUUGCCCCGUCAGGUAAUUAGUUUCUCUUUUAACAUGAGAAAAAGUAUUGAGAAAAUAUAAUCCUGCUAUUGCUGACAUUUCUUCCUCUAUUUUAGAUCAAGAGUUAUCUCAUUCUGCCGAACAGCCAACCUCCAGUAAACCAAGUAAAGAACAAACGGUUGUUCCCACUGCUGAACAAAUCAAGGAACAGCCAACUAUCAUUGAUCAACAAAACACACCAUACACAAGAGAGCCUCGGACAUCAGAAGAUGCGCUUAAUACUACACCUACCCAUGGCAAUGUUCACCCUGCUGGUAGCACUGAACCAGACAGAAGACCUUUAUCAGUUCAAGGGGAAGAACCGAAAUUUGCAACUCAAGCUCCACCACCUCAUGUGGCCAACGACUCCCUAGACCCUGAAGAUAUAACUACUGACCAAGCGAUGGCACCUAUAAUGAGCCCAUCUGUACCUUCAGUUGCGCCCCUAGGUACCCUACCAGGUGAGGAAAUCUCUAAUUAGCAAAAAUUAAGUCCAUGUAUGCAAUAAGUUUUUCAUUGGCAUGUACAAUUUAUUUGCCUUGCCGGCCAUUUUAAAAAACUCAGGAGUUUCUAUUAUAUAGUUAAAACAGUUUACUUUACAAUUCUUUCAUAUAUAUAGGUAUUCUUUAGCAUUCAAGUUGUGGGCAAAAUCAUUUGCGAAAUCACGUUAAACUCUAUAUAGUCAAUCUUAUAAGAGACUCACUGUCCAGAAUCCUAAGUGGUGAUACCCUUCUCAUGGAACGAUCUGGACCCAGACCAUCUGAGCAAUAGAGCUUAAGUUUUUCAAAUUGAAACCAAUAGUGAAAUCACUGUCUUCAAAUUACAGGUACAAAUUCAGUCCAACCACCACGGCAAGCUUCUAUGCCAUCUACAGUGGACUUAGAAUCUGUUCCAGAAACCCAGCAUGGUAUCCCAGAAGGCGAAGCUACCCCAGCUGAACAGAAAUUUGCUAUAUCUGGUAACACUGUCAUUGUUUCUCUUUAGAAUUAACUAAAGUUCACCUUCUUCCUGGCCAAGAGAAAUAGUUCUGACCAUAUUCUGAGUUCAAUUUCCUUUAUUUCAGAUAAAGAGCCGGCACAUACUUCAGAGCCGCCUUCCUCCGCAGAAUUAAGGAAAGAAGAGGCAAAUGCUGCUGCAGGUGAUCAACCAAAUGUACCACAAGGUCCAGAAACAACCAGUCGACAUCAAGUCAAGUCACCAUCACCAGAUGCAAGAGAAGCUUUACCGAAAGAUCAGCAACCCUCUCAUGCUGUGCUUCCUGAACAAACCACUUAUGCUGUACUUCCUUCUGACUUAUAUGACAGACCUACUCCUGAAGUGGACAGUAGUGUUGUUGAUAAGGAGACAACACUUUUAUCAAGCCAAGCACAAACUUCAGCUGCUGAGCCUGACUUAACACCGAUCAGUGGUGAUGUUUCGCCCACAAGUUCUCUACAGAAUCAAGACGCACAACCUCCUGUAACAACUCAAGCACCUACUACCCAAUCUCUACAAGGUUCUGCACCCACUCAGGAUGAUUCCUUCAGAAAAUUUGACCCACCAAGACAGGCCUCAACCGAUCAAGUCAUGGAACCAGUGACAAGCUCAGCAGCACCUUCAGAUGCUCCACAAGGUACUGAACCAGGUCUGGCAAUCCCUUAUGUACAGGAAUUCACUCCAUCAUGUUACUAAUUUCUCAUUGGUAGGGACUCUUGUUACUCCUUGCGGAAUUAUUUAGAUGAUCCAUGACUUCCGAAACAUUGCAUUUAUUAUUUAGUAUGCAUUUUUUUUGGUUAGUGUCACAUUGUGGACAAAUGCAUAGUUCUGCUGCUACUAAGGUUAUCCAUAACAUGACAGGUCAAGAUUCUGCUCAAUCUGUACAACCCCCUUUCUCUACUGAGCCAACAGAAGACAAUACUGUUGUUACCCCACCUGAUCAAACCAAGGACAUGGAGACAAUAACUCAUCCACAAGCCAUAACACCUGCUCCAGAAACAGCUAAAACUAUAUUCCCAGGAGCAAAUCAAGAAGCGAUGGCGCCUAUAGCUGGCCCAACAUCAAUGGAUCCCCAACUUGCUGGCACCUUAGCGGCUGAAGUAGCCCAUUCUGACCAGAAACCCACUCCAUCAGGUAACUGAUUCAUAUUUAAGUAUUUUCUAAAACAAGAAUUGCUAGCGGACCUAGAGAAGAUUUGCAUCCUGAAACAUUCCUCAAAACUAACAUUUUGCUUCAUGCAUUUUAGAUAAAGGAUCAGCUCGUGCUGCACAACCUGUUUCCCCUGUUGAACAAAAAAAGGCAGACAGUAAUGUUUCUUCAGCUGAUUAUUCUAAUGCGCCGCAAAUGGUUUUUCGGCAACAAGCCAGGCCAUCUGCACCGAGCACAAUAGGAAUUCCAGCCUCAGAUACCCAGGGUGUUAUAGGGAAAAUCCAGGAGGUAACUCCUGAUAAUCGCCGCACCGGUGAUUCAGGAAAACCAUUCGUUCCAAGUAAAGAACAGGUUUCACAUGCAUCACAAGCAAUCCCUGGUCAAGAAGAAAUGGCAUCUCUACCAGGCGCCAUAGUUUCUCCAACCUCAGAUGCCCAAGUUGCCUCGUCAGAAGUUCAGGAAGUCAGUCCUGAUGAUCAACAGGCUGCUUUUGGACCAGGUGAAGUAGGUGCUGCUGAAAAGAAAUUUGCC